rnacentral:rRNA from 1 species
AGGAUGAACGCUGGCGGUCUGCUUAACACAUGCAAGUCGAACGGAGUAGCAAUACUUAGUGGCGGACGGGUGAGUAACGCGUGAGAAUCUACCUUCAGGACGGAGACAACAGUUGGAAACGACUGCUAACCCCCGAUGUACCGAAAGGGCAAAUAUUUAUAGCCUGAAGAAGAGCUCGCGUCCGAUUAGCUAGUUGGAGAGGUAAAAGCUCACCAAGGCGACGAUCGGUAGCUGGUCUGAGAGGACGAUCAGCCACACUGGGACUGAGACACGGCCCAGACUCCUACGGGAGGCAGCAGUGGGAAUUUCCGCAAUGGGCGAAAGCCUGACGGAGCAAGACCGCGUGGGGGAAGAAGGCUCUUGGGUUGUAAACCCCCUUUUCUCUGGGAAGAACGCAAUGACGGUACCAGAGGAAUCAGCAUCGGCUAACUCCGUGCCAGCAGCCGC